AAGUCGUAACAAGGUUUCCGUAGGUGAACCUGCGGAAGGAUCAUUACCAAAUCCAAAUACCCAAACCCCAUGUGAAUUAUUGUAUAGUCUGUCUUUGGGAGAAAAAGAAGGAGAAAUCUGGACUUUUCUCCCAAUAGAGUCCGGCAUAACGUUUCUGUUGUGUCCAGAUUCGAAACCCCUUUUAAACCACUUGAUUUUUCUGUUGGAAUUUCUUUUAUUAAUUUUAAAUAAAAGACAACUUUUAACGGCGGAUCUCUUGGCUCGUG
rnacentral:misc_RNA from 1 species